AUAGCCCACGACGAUCCCCACCUCCCAGCAUUCAUGUCCUUGCACAGAUCCCUCCCAAGGUAACCAGGGCUAGCUGUGUAUAAGGAUAACCAUAAAUGACCUUCUGAGGCUAGGUCACAAAAGACACUGUAGCUCCGCCUUGCUUUCUCAGCUGUCCUGCUCUGAAGGAAGCUAGCUGCUGUGUCAUGACCAUACUCCUGCAGCCCUGUGGAGAGAGCCCAUGCCGAGGAACUGAGCCUCCGGCCAAUAUCCAGCACUAGCUUGCCAGGCAUGUGAGUGGGCCAUGUUGAGGCAGAUCCUCUAGUCCUAGUCAAGCCUUCCGAUGACUGCAGCCCUGGCUGACAAGUUGACUGCCACCUCAUGGGAAACCCUGAGCCAGAACCACCCAGCCAAGCCACGCCUGGAUUCCUGAUCCACAGACACCAUGAGAGGAAGUGUUGUUUUAAGCCACUAAGGUUUGGGGGAAUUUGUUGUGCAGCAAUAGAUAACUAGCACAGCAGAGAACUGGGUGAGAAGGCGAGAACACACCUACUUAAACAGGGUGGUCAGGAAAGGUUUUUUUGAGAAGGAGACAUUUAAGCUGAGAAUGGAUCAAAUGGAACUUCAUUUUUUUCUAUUCUUCCUCCUGCUGCCACUGCCAACUUCAGAUGGAAGAAGAGCAUUCCCGGACGAGGGAACCAAAUGGCAGAGGGAGGUCCUGAGUUGUAUGGGGGGCAGUGUGGCCGGAGCACGUUCCAACAGGGAAGUGGGAAAAAUGAGGUCACAGAGCUGGGCUUAGCCAAUUCAGAUAAUGUUCAUCAUAAAAAUGCUCAUUUAUUAUGCACAUGAUGUGCGUUGCAGAAAAAUCAAGAAAUGCAAAUGUUCAAAAGAGAAGCAACUACCGGUCGCCCCAAUUAUUGCAAGAUGAACACUGUCUUCGUGUUGAAACCCAAAAUUGCUGAUUUUAGGCAAUUUGGAAGAUACGGAAAAUAUAAAGAAGAAAAUCAAGGCACAAAUAAUACCACCACUUUCUGAGACUAGAAAGGCAGCUUGCAACCCAUUCACGCUUGCAGCUGUCACUCUGAGCUGCCAUUGUGCAAACAUUUAUUUCCUUAAUUCCAGGUUACCUUCUUACCUCAUUAGGAAAGGAAAAUAAAAGUUGAGGACUGUUCACUAUGUAGAGGGUUUUGGCACCAUUUUUAUAAUUCACCAUGAGAUGAGUAAGUUAGAGGGGCAGAAAGAGAGGUGUUUUAUAAUGACUGGGAGAGAAUCCCAGUGCUUGAUUCUCCCCAGGGACCCUAACCAACAACUUCCCUUUUAAAAAUACUAUAGGGACAGCACUUGAAGAAACAGGUAAAAUUUUGUAAUGCACACAAUAAGAAUGCUCAAACUGGCUGGGUGCAGUGAUUUACCUCUGUAAUCCUA